GGAAGCCGGAGCCAGCAACUAAUCAAAACGUCUCUCAGACAUUUACAGAGCAAUGUAAACUGCACAAUUUUUUUUUGUGGGGGGGGGGGGGUUGCUGUGAAUCAGGUUUGCUGGUGUUUCUGAGCCGAGCGUUUGUUGCUCCCAGCUGUUUUUGGCGAGGACGACUAGGUUCAGCAUUUCUGUGUUUUCACUCUGCCCUCGCUUUUUGCAGUUUUUCCCUCUGUACUCAGGAGGAAGCUUGUGAGUGUGCGUGAUUUCUUCCAGGAGGUCAAACUGUGGCGUGUCAACUCUGACUCCAUGUGACCGUCUCUGUGUGCUCGGUGAUAUUGCUGCGAUGGGUUCAGUCGAUGCUGCGUUCAGGGCCACAUCCUUUGGAGGCUGCAUUCGAAGACUGAUUGCAUAACAGCAACAUGACUAGACUGUCCCAUUUCUGAGGCUCCUUCAAACGCGGCUGACAAAUGUGUCCAUACAUCCCAGACAAACGAUGACUUCAACUGGUGGAUCCAUCCCAGCCCAACAAAUCUAUGAAUCCCGGGAUUCAUUGCACCUCAAUGACAAAACAUUUUUCAAAGAGGGAAUGGCGCUGACAAGCAGUUAGACAUCCAAUGUCAACUGAACUGAACGGCUAACGUUACACAUGGUAAAAGGGACACACAGCUAAUAAGGCGAAUAUACGUAUUAAAGAUUUAUUGUGUGGAAUUUAGUGGCAUCUAGUGGUGAAGGUGAAUAGUGUUACUAAGUGAGCACCCCUUCACCCCAAACUCCCCGUCCAAGGGUGAAGAAAGUAUGGUGGCCUUUUGGUAAAGUAAGAACGCAAAGGAGAAUGUUUAGAGCCAGUGUUAGGUUUGUCCAUUCUGAGCUUCUGUAGAAACAUGGAGGUGCAACAAGGCAGACUCCAUGCAAGAGGACCGGCUGCUGAUGUAGAAAUAAAGGGAUCAUUCAAAGGUAAUGAAAACAGUGAUUCGUUUUAUGUGAUUAUUCACUAAUACAAACUUAAAUGUGAAUAUUAUUUUCCAUUUCCAUAUCCAAAGAACCUCCUAAAUUGUACCAGAACUUAUCUAUAAUGGAUUCCCCAUGGUACAUUAUAAAAAUUUGCAGAGAUUGAUUUUUUGUGUGCAAAUUAUGUGGUUUGACAUUUUCAGCAAGUACAAACACUAUAUGUUUUGAAAAAUACAAAUAUUGGAUUAAA